AACGAACGCUGGCGGCGUGGAUAAGACAUGCAAGUCGAACGGGACAGACCGAGUAGCAAUAUUUGGAAUGUUCAGUGGCGAACGGGUGCGUAACACGUGGAUAACAUUCCGGAAAGCGGGGAAUAGCCCAGGGAAACUUGGAUUAAUACCGCAUGUGGCCGCAAGGCUAAAGACGGGGACCGCAAGGCCUGUCACUUUCCGAUUGGUCCGCGGCCUAUCAGCUAGUUGGCGGGGUAAUGGCCCACCAAGGCUACGACGGGUAGCUGGUCUUAGAGGACGACCAGCCACACUGGAACUGAGAAACGGUCCAGACACCUACGGGUGGCAGCAGUCGAGAAUCUUUCACAAUGGGGGCAACCCUGAUGGAGCGACGCCGUGUGGAGGAUAAGGUCUUCGGAUUGUAAACUCCUGUCAUGCGAGAACAAGGUACUCAGGCUAAUAACCUGAUUGUUUGAUGGUACCGCAAGAGGAAGAGACGGCUAACUCUGUGCCAGCCGCCGCCGUAAGAC
rnacentral:rRNA from 1 species